rnacentral:rRNA from 1 species
GAUGAACGCUGGCGGCGUGCCUAAUACAUGCAAGUCGAGCGAACAGACGAGGAGCUUGCUCCUCUGACGUUAGCGGCGGACGGGUGAGUAACACGUGGAUAACCUACCUAUAAGACUGGGAUAACUUCGGGAAACCGGAGCUAAUACCGGAUAAUAUAUUGAACCGCAUGGUUCAAUAGUGAAAGACGGUUUUGCUGUCACUUAUAGAUGGAUCCGCGCCGCAUUAGCUAGUUGGUAAGGUAACGGCUUACCAAGGCGACGAUGCGUAGCCGACCUGAGAGGCUGAUCGGCCACACGGGAACUGAGACACGGUCCAGACUCCUACGGGAGGCAGCAGUAGGGAAUCUUCCGCAAUGGGCGAAAGCCUGACGGAGCAACGCCGCGUGAGUGAUGAAGGUCUUCGGAUCGUAAAACUCUGUUAUUAGGGAAGAACAAAUGUGUAAGUAACUAUGCACGUCUUGACGGUACCUAAUCAGAAAGCCACGGCUAACUACGUG